GUUUUCAUGGAGAGUAACAGUUGGAGAGUUUUCAUGGAGAGUUCAUGGAGAGUUCCCUGUUGUGCCUGUGAUUCGCUGUGUUCCUCCUCUUUCAUUAAGCUCCCUCAGGUGCUGGAGUACUGGUGGAGGUGACAGGUGUUCCCUAUCUUCACUGAUGAGCUUCGGUGUAAUUUAAGCAGCAGGCAGCCAGCAUCUCAACGCUCGAGUGUUAGCCCUCAGUGAUCGAGACUACCUGGAUACUACCCAGACUGGAUUGCCGCCUUGCUUUGUGAAAGUAUAUUUUUGGAGUACCUUUGCUUCACAGAAGCCACGUCGUUAUUAUCCUACUGGACUACCUUGCUGGCUGCCGCCAAGUGCUUCCUGGCUCACACCGAUUCCACAGAACCUGUCCACCCUCCACCGCUCUCAAGCGACCCAGCUCCGGCACCGUACUACCACUCAUUAUUGCACAGUCCUGGUUUGGAAGCCUUCGUACCACCGCAGCCACCGCACUGUGUGCUCUUUCUGGUCAAUCUGAAUCCCUCUCCUCCUGGCGGAGAACUCACCCAGCCUAGUAAGGAAAUGCUUAUUCAUUAAUCCAUUCUUGGUUUUACUCCUACUUACUGCUCGCUUCUUUUUUACGGCCUACCCCUCCAUGUACCAGAGCGCCCAGUAUUCCUGUAUUCAUUAAAAUCAUUAUAAACUU